rnacentral:rRNA from 1 species
ACGGGUGAGUAACACGUGGGUAACCUGCCUGUAAGACUGGGAUAACUCCGGGAAACCGGGGCUAAUACCGGAUGGUUGUUUGAACCGCAUGGUUCAGACAUAAAAGGUGGCUUCGGCUACCACUUACAGAUGGACCCGCGGCGCAUUAGCUAGUUGGUGAGGUAACGGCUCACCAAGGCGACGAUGCGUAGCCGACCUGAGAGGGUGAUCGGCCACACUGGGACUGAGACACGGCCCAGACUCCUACGGGAGGCAGCAGUAGGGAAUCUUCCGCAAUGGACGAAAGUCUGACGGAGCAACGCCGCGUGAGUGAUGAAGGUUUUCGGAUCGUAAAGCUCUGUUGUUAGGGAAGAACAAGUGCCGUUCAAAUAGGGCGGCACCUUGACGGUACCUAACCAGAAAGCCACGGCUAACUACGUGCCAGCAGCCGCGGUAAUACGUAGGUGGCAAGCGUUGUCCGGAAUUAUUGGGCGUAAAGGGCUCGCAGGCGGUUUCUUAAGUCUGAUGUGAAAGCCCCCGGCUCAACCGGGGAGGGUCAUUGGAAACUGGGGAACUUGAGUGCAGAAGAGGAGAGUGGAAUUCCACGUGUAGCGGUGAAAUGCGUAGAGAUGUGGAGGAACACCAGUGGCGAAGGCGACUCUCUGGUCUGUAACUGACGCUGAGGAGCGAAAGCGUGGGGAGCGAACAGGAUUAGAUACCCUGGUAGUCCACGCCGUAAACGAUGAGUGCUAAGUGUUAGGGGGUUUCCGCCCCUUAGUGCUGCAGCUAACGCAUUAAGCACUCCGCCUGGGGAGUACGGUCGCAAGACUGAAACUCAAAGGAAUUGACGGGGGCCCGCACAAGCGGUGGAGCAUGUGGUUUAAUUCGAAGCAACGCGAAGAACCUUACCAGGUCUUGACAUCCUCUGACAAUCCUAGAGAUAGGACGUCCCCUUCGGGGGCAGAGUGACAGGUGGUGCAUGGUUGUCGUCAGCUCGUGUCGUGAGAUGUUGGGUUAAGUCCCGCAACGAGCGCAACCCUUGAUCUUAGUUGCCAGCAUUCAGUUGGGCACUCUAAGGUGACUGCCGGUGACAAACCGGAGGAAGGUGGGGAUGACGUCAAAUCAUCAUGCCCCUUAUGACCUGGGCUACACACGUGCUACAAUGGACAGAACAAAGGGCAGCGAAACCGCGAGGUUAAGCCAAUCCCACAAAUCUGUUCUCAGUUCGGAUCGCAGUCUGCAACUCGACUGCGUGAAGCGGAAUCGCUAGUAAUCGCGGAUCAGCAUGCCGC